UGGACACAGAUCUCCAUUAUCUAGCUGUGUGUCUUUGAAGAGUAACCAGUCCAUUGGUGUCCGUCCUGAUCUCAGUGAUGGAGCUGUGAACUCUGACUCCGUUAAAUCCAGCAAGAAGAGAAAGAAAGCGGAAUCUUUAUUAUCUAGCUGUGUGUCUUUGAAGAGUGACCAGUCCAUUGGUGUCCGUCCUGAUCUCAGUGAUGGAGCUGUGAACUCUGACUCUGUUAAAUCCAGCAAGAAGAGAAAGAAAGCGGAAUCUUUAUUAUCUAGCUGUGUGUCUUUGAAGAGUGACCAGUCCAUUGGUGUCCGUCCUGAUCUCAGUGAUGGACCUGUGAACUCUGA